UACGGAGGGUGCAAGCGUUAAUCGGAAUUACUGGGCGUAAAGCGUGCGUAGGCGGCUACUUAAGUGGGAUGUGAAAGCCCCGGGCUCAACCUGGGAACUGCACCCCAAACUGGGUAGCUAGAGUGCGAGAGAGGAGUGUGGAAUUUCCUGUGUAGCGGUGAAAUGCGUAGAUAUAGGAAGGAACACCAGUGGCGAAGGCGACACUCUGGCUUGACACUGACGCUGAGGUACGAAAGCGUGGGGAGCAAACAGG
rnacentral:rRNA from 1 species